ACCCGCACAAGCGGUGGAUGAUGUGGAUUAAUUCGAUGCAACGCGAAGAACCUUACUACCCUUGACAUGUCCGGAACUUGCCAGAGAUGGCUUGGUGCCCGAAAGGGAAUCGGAACACAGGUGCUGCAUGGCUGUCGUCAGCUCGUGUCGUGAGAUGUUGGGUUAAGUCCCGCAACGAGCGCAACCCUUGUCAUUAGUUACCAUCAUUUGGUUGGGCACUCUAAUGAGACUGCCGGUGACAAACCGGAGGAAGGUGGGGAUGACGUCAAGUCCUCAUGGCCCUUAUGGGUAGGGCUUCACACGUCAUACAAUGGUCGGUACAGAGGGUUGCCAACCCGCGAGGGGGAGCUAAUCCCACAAAGCCGAUCGUAGUCCGGAUCGCAGUCUGCAACUCGACUGCGUGAAGUCGGAAUCGCUAGUAAUCGUGGAUCAGCAUGUCACGGUGAAUACGUUCCCGGGUCUU
rnacentral:rRNA from 1 species